CAAGGUUGACCUCGGAUCAGGUAGGAAUACCCGCUGAACUUAA
rnacentral:rRNA from 1 species